CGAGCGAAUCGAUGGGAGCUUGCUCCCUGAGAUUAGCGGCGGACGGGUGAGUAACACGUGGGCAACCUGCCUAUAAGACUGGGAUAACUUCGGGAAACCGGAGCUAAUACCGGAUACGUUCUUUUCUCGCAUGAGAGAAGAUGGAAAGACGGUUUACGCUGUCACUUAUAGAUGGGCCCGCGGCGCAUUAGCUAGUUGGUGAGGUAAUGGCUCACCAAGGCGACGAUGCGUAGCCGACCUGAGAGGGUGAUCGGCCACACUGGGACUGAGACACGGCCCAUACUCCUACGGGAGGCAGCAGUAGGGAAUCUUCCGCAAUGGACGAAAGUCUGACGGAGCAACGCCGCGUGAACGAAGAAGGCCUUCGGGUCGUAAAGUUCUGUUGUUAGGGAAGAACAAGUACCAGAGUAACUGCUGGUACCUUGACGGUACCUAACCAGAAAGCCACGGCUAACUACGUGCCAGCAGCCGCGGUAAUACGUAGGUGGCAAGCGUUGUCCGGAAUUAUUGGGCGUAAAGCGCGCGCAGGUGGUUCCUUAAGUCUGAUGUGAAAGCCCACGGCUCAACCGUGGAGGGUCAUUGGAAACUGGGGAACUUGAGUGCAGAAGAGGAAAGUGGAAUUCCAAGUGUAGCGGUGAAAUGCGUAGAGAUUUGGAGGAACACCAGUGGCGAAGGCGACUUUCUGGUCUGUAACUGACACUGAGGCGCGAAAGCGUGGGGAGCAAACAGGAUUAGAUACCCUGGUAGUCCACGCCGUAAACGAUGAGUGCUAAGUGUUAGAGGGUUUCCGCCCUUUAGUGCUGCAGCUAACGCAUUAAGCACUCCGCCUGGGGAGUACGGCCGCAAGGCUGAAACUCAAAGGAAUUGACGGGGGCCCGCACAAGCGGUGGAGCAUGUGGUUUAAUUCGAAGCAACGCGAAGAACCUUACCAGGUCUUGACAUCCUCUGACAACCCUAGAGAUAGGGCUUUCCCCUUCGGGGGACAGAGUGACAGGUGGUGCAUGGUUGUCGUCAGCUCGUGUCGUGAGAUGUUGGGUUAAGUCCCGCAACGAGCGCAACCCUUGAUCUUAGUUGCCAGCAUUCAGUUGGGCACUCUAAGGUGACUGCCGGUGACAAACCGGAGGAAGGUGGGGAUGACGUCAAAUCAUCAUGCCCCUUAUGACCUGGGCUACACACGUUCU
rnacentral:rRNA from 1 species